rnacentral:rRNA from 1 species
GACGAACGCUGGCGGCGUGCUUAACACAUGCAAGUCGAACGGCAAGGCCCUGCUUUUGUGGGGUGCUCGAGUGGCGAACGGGUGAGUAACACGUGAGUAACCUGCCCUUGACUUUGGGAUAGCUUCAGGAAACUGGGGCUAAUACCGGAUAGGAUCUCCCGCUGCAUGGAGGGGGUUGGAAAGUCUGGGCGGUUGUGGAUGGACUGGCGGCUUAUCAGCUUGUUGGUGGGCGAGUGGCUUACCAAGGCUUUGACUGGUAGCCGGCCUGAGAGGGUGACCGGCGACAAUGGGCCUGCGGUACGGCCCAGACUCCUACGGGAGGCAGCAGGGGGGAAUAUUGCACAGUGGGCGGAAGCCUGAGGCAGCAACGCCGCGUGCGGGAUGACGGCUUGCGGGGUGUAAACCGCUUUCGCCUGUGACGAAGCGGGUGUGACGGUAAUGGGUAAAGAAGCACCGGCUAACUACGUG